UCUUAGAUGACUGAGUAGAUAGUGCUAGACUUUUAAUCUAGAAACAGCAUUUGUAAUUGCUUCUAAGAA
rnacentral:tRNA from 1 species